rnacentral:rRNA from 1 species
GACGUAGGGCGCGAGCGUGUCCGGAUUUAUUGGGCGUAAAGAGCUCGUAGGCGGCUUGUUGCGUCGACCGUGAAAACCCGGGGCUCAACUUCGGGCUUGCGGUCGAUACGGGCGGGCUAGAGUUCGGUAGGGGAGACUGGAAUUCCUGGUGUAGCGGUGAAAUGCGCAGAUAUCAGGAGGAACACCGGUGGCGAAGGCGGGUCUCUGGGCCGAUACUGACGCUGAGGAGCGAAAGCGUGGGGGAGCGAACAGG